GAUGGACCCGCGUUGGAUUAGCUAGUUGGUGAGGUAACGGCCCACCAAGGCGACGAUCGGUAGCCGGACUGAGAGGUUGAACGGCCACAUUGGAACUGAGACACGGUCCAAACUCCUACGGGAGGCAGCAGUGAGGAAUAUUGGUCAAUGGGCGAGAGCCUGAACCAGCCAAGUAGCGUGAAGGAUGAAGGCUCUAUGGGUCGUAAACUUCUUUUAUAUGGGAAUAAAGUUUUCCACGUGUGGAACUUUGUAUGUACCAUAUGAAUAAGGAUCGGCUAGCUCCGUGCCAGCAGCCGCGGUAAUACGGAGGAUCCGAGCGUUAUCCGGAUUUAUUGGGUUUAAAGGGAGCGUAGGUGGAUUGUUAAGUCAGUUGUGAAAGUUUGCGGCUCAACCGUAAAAUUGCAGUUGAAACUGGCAGUCUUGAGUACAGUAGAGGUGGGCGGAAUUCGUGGUGUAGCGGUGAAAUGCUUAGAUAUCACGAAGAACUC
rnacentral:rRNA from 1 species